AGAGUUUGAUCAUGGCUCAGGAUGAACGCUGGCGGCGUGGAUAAGGCAUGCAAGUCAAGGGGUUCCGCAUUUUGCGGAACACCGGCAAAUGGGUUAGUAACACGUAGAUAAUAUACCCCAGAGAUGGGAACAGUCCCGCGAAAGCGGGAGUAAUUCCCAAUGGUUCCCGCUUUUUGCGGGAUAAAGGUUAUACUUUGUAUUUCCGCUUUGGGAUUGGUCUGCGGCCUAUCAGCUUGUUGGUAAGGUAAUGGCUUACCAAGGCGAUGACGGGUAGGCGGUGUGAGAGCACGAUCGCCAACAAGGGUACUGAGACACGGACCCUACUCCUACGGGAGGCAGC
rnacentral:rRNA from 1 species